UACGUAGGGGGCUAGCGUUGUCCGGAAUCAUUGGGCGUAAAGAGCGUGUAGGCGGCCCGGUAAGUCCGCUGUGAAAGUCGGGGGCUCAACCCUCGAAUGCCGGUGGAUACUGUCGGGCUAGAGUGCGGAAGAGGCGAGUGGAAUUCCUGGUGUAGCGGUGAAAGUGCGCAGAUAUCAGGAGGAACACCAAUUGCGAAGGCAGCUCGCUGGGACGUAACUGACGCUGGAGACGCGAAAGCGUGGGGAGCAAACAGG
rnacentral:rRNA from 1 species